rnacentral:sRNA from 1 species
GAAUAAAAGAACUCCGUGAAUUCGAUCCUAAAAUACUGUAAUUGAUCUCUUAUUUGAGAGAGUAGUUCUAGGUAAUUUGAACCAUAUCACUCCUAAUUCAUCUCUAACUCUUAUAAUUAGUUAAUGCAUUGGAUUGUGACACAUUUUGACCAUGAAAACACAAACAAAACUGUUUACUGAUUCUAAGCAAUUUUUUGUUGGUUUAGGUUCUUUUGGGAGAAAAUGGGUAUAAGUGUUUUCUAAACACUCCUAAUCCAACUCUAACUCUUAUCAUUAGUCAAAUGCAUUGGAUUGUGACACAUUUUGACCAUAGAAACAGUAGCAAAGCUAUUUACUGCUCCUAAGCAAAUUUUUGUUGGUUUUAGCCUCUUUUGGGACAAAAUGGGUAUAAUUAUUGGCUAAACACUCUUAAUCCAUCUCUAACUCUUAUAAUUAGUCAAAUGCAUUAGAUUUUGACCUAUUUUA